rnacentral:rRNA from 1 species
CCAUUAGCGGAGGAAAAGAAACCAACAGGGAUUGCCCUAGUAACGGCGAGUGAAGCGGCAACAGCUCAAAUUUGAAAGCUAGCCUUCGGGUUCGCAUUGUAAUUUGUAGAGGAUGAUUUGGGGAAGCCGCCUGUCUAAGUUCCUUGGAACAGGACGUCAUAGAGGGUGAGAAUCCCGUAUGUGACAGGAAAUGGCACCCUAUGUAAAUCUCCUUCGACGAGUCGAGUUGUUUGGGAAUGCAGCUCUAAAUGGGAGGUAAAUUUCUUCUAAAGCUAAAUAUUGGCGAGAGACCGAUAGCGCACAAGUAGAGUGAUCGAAAGAUGAAAAGCACUUUGGAAAGAGAGUUAAAAAGCACGUGAAAUUGUUGAAAGGGAAGCGCUUGCAAUCAGACUUGUUUAAACUGUUCGGCCGGUCUUCUGACCGGUUUACUCAGUUUGGACAGGCCAGCAUCAGUUUCGGCGGCCGGAUAAAGGCUCUGGGAAUGUGGCCUCCACUUCGGUGGAGGUGUUAUAGCCCAGGGUGUAAUACGGCCAGCCGGGACUGAGGUCCGCGCUUCGGCUAGGAUGCUGGCGUAAUGGUUGUAAGCGACCCGUCUUGAAAAACCGGGA